UCUAUAUAUACACUUGUAAACUGCGAAGGUACUGUGGAAUUUAUUUGUUAUCUUGCGGCCGCCUGAAUAGCAUAGCACACAGGCGAUGGAUUUUGCUAUUCGAUUUAAUGGUUGUGUUUUGAAGGCCAGUGAUGUUUUGAGAAUUGUCCGUACCAUCUGAGGUUUCUCUUGCAGAUGUCUUUGAUGUGAAUCGUUCUCUGCCUUCUGAGAAGAGGCAAUGAUGUCCAAUUUUUACCAUCAAACGAUGAAAGCCUCUGUUUCAAGCUUGUUGAUGUUAAAUAAAUCAUUGCUCUCUGAGCCUCUCAAUUAUUCGAUUUUUAAUUUUGUUCAUUUUAGUAUCUUUUAAAGAAGCACAAUUACUAAGGCAACAAAUUAGAGUCACUGAUGCACCUAAGAUUUGAUGGUGUUUUUAGCGCUGUACGUUGCCAAUAUGGAU